GUGACUAGUUCAAUUGGUUAGAGCACCGCCCUGCAAGGCGGAUGUUGCGGGGUCGAAUCCCGUCAGUCCCG
rnacentral:tRNA from 1 species